ensembl:misc_RNA
GUGACAGCCCUGAAACCUGAAGUCCUCUAGUUAUCCUCACAGGAGGUACAGCGCACAUAGAGGAGCAUUGCAAGCUUCCCCUGUAUUGCCUCAUUAAUGUACCUGAAGAAUGAGUUCUGGAGGAAUCAUUUCGGAAGGGGACACACUAGGUCAGUUUCCAUGGCUCAUUUGGUUCUUGGCCUCU